rnacentral:lncRNA from 1 species
GAAUACUUGCCCCCUCCUUUUGCUCGCCUUUAUGCGACUGAGGCUAAGUGUGAUUCCUCGUCUACCUACGUUCAUCCGUAGGUGAGGAUUAUUAUUGAGUACGUCCCUCGUCUAACCUACGUUCUUCCGUAGGUGAGGUUUACUCUUGAGUACGUCCCUCGUCUAACCUACGUUCUUCCGUAGGUGAGGUUUACUCUUGGAUGCUUGCCCCUCUGUCUACAUUUUUGUAGAAU